rnacentral:tRNA from 1 species
GGGAGUGUUUGCACGGCUGGCGCCGGCCCUGGUCUUCAAAACCAGCGGGGGGUUUGAACAAAGCUCUCAGUGGGUUCGAUUCCCAUACACUCCCGCCA